rnacentral:rRNA from 1 species
AAUAAGCAAUCCUAAGGGAAACCUUACUUACGUUAAUUUUAAGUUACCGUAAGAAUUAUAAAAACUUCCUGAAGUAAAACAUUUUAUUAAGGAAAGGAAAGGAAAUCAACCGAGACUCCGAAAGUAAUGGUGAGUGAAAUCGGAUUAGCCUAGCACAGCAAUUUCAAUAUUUUAAAUUAAUAAUAACUUUUUUAAGCUAUUACUUGGUUUAAAUAAAGUUAAAAAGCGAUAGCUUAUUUUUCUUAUUGCAUUAGCAAUAAUUUAAGAAAGUUAUCGUUCUAAAAAUAGGUUAUAAGUCCUAAUGAAAUAUAAUUGCUGCGCAAAAUAAUUAUUAGCAUAAGCUAUUUAAAAAAAAAUACGAUGAGAGAUAACUUGUCGGAAUAUAGGGGAACCAUCCUCUAAGGCUAAGUAUUAUAAAUUUAGCGAUAGUGAAAAAGUACUGUAAAGGAAAAGUUUUGAAAAGCAUGUAGUAUACAUUUUUUUUUAUCUAUUGCUUGCUUUGCAUUAGCAAGCAAAGCAAUUAGUUAAAAAAUAUGGUGAAAUAGAUCUUGAAUUAGUAAUUCUAUAAGCAGUCGGAAUUCUUAUUAUAAAAUUAAAGAAUAACGGCGUACCUUUUGCAUAAUGGGUCAGCAAGUUAAUAGAAGUAGCAAGGUUAAAAGCCUAAGCGAAAGCGACUAUACUUUAAAAAGUACUGGAUAAGUUACUUCUAUUAGACCCGAAGCCAGGUGAUCUUACCAAGAUCAGAUUAUAAUAGAUCGAACGGGUGAAUGUUGCAUAAUUCUCCGAUGAAUUUUGGUAAGAGGUGAAAUGCCAAUCUAACCUGGUGCUAGCUGGUUUUCUACCGAAACAUAUUUAAGUAUGAUGUCUAUUUGAUAAGAUUUAUGGAGGUACAGCAAGACAAUUCCCAACAACUGUUAUUUAUUUUAAAAUAAUAGGCGUUUAGGUUGCGGGGAUCUAGCAAAUCUUACCUUUGGAAACGAAUCUCGGAAUUACAUAAAUUGAUAGUAGAUAUUCAGACUAUUCAUGCUAAGUUGAAUAGUCAAGACGGAAACAGCCGAGAACACUAAUCAAGGUCCCUAAUGAUUGUUAAGUGAAAUUAAGGACGUAGCAAUAUCAAAUACAGCUGUGAAGUGAGCCUGGCAGUCGCUACUUAUAAUGAACGUAUGUAACAACGCAACAGCAGUAUAAAGAUAGUAGCGCCGAAAAUUUAACGGGUCUAAAACAAUCAACCGAUAUUGUGUUGAUUAAAACUUACUAUUUUUACCUUUGCCCGCAGCCUAGCUUUGGGCAAGGCAAGGGGUAAGUUUUAAUUUAGGUAGUAGAACAUUCAGUUUAACUGUUGAAAAAAUAGUGUUUCAUUAUUUAUUAGGUAACUGAAGAGAGAAUGCUGACAUGAGUAACGUAAAAAAUUCCUAAAAUGGAAUUCGCCGAAUACGAAAGGGUUGCAUAAGAAAGGUUAAUCCUCUUAGUGUGAAUGCGGUCUCUAAGGGAAAAUAGCAAUAGCUAUAACUGAUGAGUAUAUUAUAGAAAAUUAUUUAAUUAAUUUUAAAUAAUCAGGAAAUUAAUAUAAUUUCUACCGUACCCUAAACCGACACAGGUUCGUAAGUAGAGUAUACUAAGGCGUAGAGCUAAAAGUUGUUAAGGAACUCGGCAAAUUCACCUCAUAAGUUUAACGAUAAGAGGUACCUUAUUUUUUUUAAAGAAUAAGGUGGCACAGAAUCGGAGGCCACGACUGUUUACUAAAAACACAACACAGUGCAAUCAUUAAUGUGAUAGUAUACUGUGUGAAAUUUGCCCAAUGCCAUUAAUAUAAGAACAAUCAUGGGAUAUUAAACUGUGAUUUAUCGAAAAUCUGGUUAAUAGCGGUCUUAACUAUGAGGAUCCUAAGGUAGCAAAAUCAAUUGGCCAUUAAAUGUGGUCGAGUAUCAAUAAUGUAACGAUGGUCUCACUGUCUCUACAACUUGCUCAGUGAAAUUGAAUUACGCGUGCAGAUGCGCGUUACCACCAGGGGGACGGGAAGACCCUAUGCAGCUUUACUGUAAUUAGUUAUCAUAUGAAUCUAGAACAACUUAAAUUAAUAGUGAAUAGGGAUAUCGAAAGAUAAAUAGUGGAAACCUUAGAAUCUAAGUUGGGUUUAUGUUCACCUAAAAUAAUAGGGAGAGUUGACUAAUUGGCAGUUUGACUGGGGCGGUCGUCUUUAAAAAAGUAGCAAAGUACAUCCAAAUUUUUAUAAAAAACUAAUUUCAUAACAGGAGAAAAUUUUUAUUUUAUUCGCAGAAGGUAUAGCUAGAAAUUGAAUGGAAAUCAAUCAAUCAGUGAAGGAUUGCGCAGUGUUCAAUGGCGAUAAGCAUGCUUAACUGAAAGACUCAAAAGUCAAACAGAUACGUAAGUAGGGCAUAGUGACCCCUCGCUUUAGUAUGGGAUAGACGGGGAUCAAUUAAUAAAAGUUACGCUAGGGAUAACAGGCUGAUAGCCGACGAGAGUACACAUUGUCUCGGCUGUUUGGCACCUUAAAUAUAUUUAAAUUUAUAAUAUCGGGGAUUUAAGAUAGUAAUAUCUUAUUAGAAAUUGGCUAUAUGCUGGAACCUCCUUAGAGCUUUAAGUACUUAAAUUUAAAAAGAAAGUUAAAAUCUUAAAGAUUGGACAAUCAGCAGGGAAGUUAUAUAAAAUAGGUUAUAGCGACUGUUUUAAAUUUAUAUAAUCCCUCAACGACUACACGCCAACAUCCAGUGCUUCAUAAAUUGUAUUCUUUAUGCUGGAUGAAGAUAUAGUCUAAACUUAAUUGAAAGAUUAAGAGUUAUGCGAUGUCGACUCAUCCUAUCCUCCGGGGGAAGAAGCUUGGAAGGGUUCGGCUGUUCGCCGAUUAAAAGGGUACGUGAGUUGGGUUUAAUACGACGUGAGUCAGUAUGGUCCCUAUCUUCUGGUGGAAAAUUUAGUAAAUGGGGACAGACCUUCUAGUACGAAAGGACCAAUAGGCUGUGUUUCUAUAGUGUACCAAUUGUUUCUAAUAUUUAAUUAAAAAUAUGAAUGCAUAGUUGGGUAGCCACAAACAUAAUAGAUAAGUGCUGAAUGUCUAUAAAGCAAGAAUCUACUCCCUUGAUACUAAUAAAAUUAAGAAAUAGACUAUUUCUCUAAUAGGUUGCAAAUGUUUAUACUGUAAAGUAUCUUAGUUUAGCAAUACUAAUUUAUAAAAAAACUAGAUGUUUAUUAU